rnacentral:rRNA from 1 species
GAUGAACGCUGGCGGCGUGCCUAAUACAUGCAAGUCGAGCGAACAGACGAGGAGCUUGCUCCUCUGACGUUAGCGGCGGACGGGUGAGUAACACGUGGAUAACCUACCUAUAAGACUGGGAUAACCUCGGGAAACCGGAGCUAAUACCGGAUAAUAUAUUGAACCGCAUGGUUCAAUAGUGAAAGACGGUUUUGCUGUCACUUAUAGAUGGAUCCCGGCCGCAUUAGCUAGUUGUUAAGGUAACGGCUUACCAAGGCAACGAUGCGUAGCCGACCUGAGAGGGGGAUCGGCCACACGGGAACUGAGACACGGUCCAGACUCCUACGGGAGGCAGCAGUAGGGAAUCUUCGGCAAUGGGCGAAAGCCUGACGGAGCAACGCCGCGUGAGUGAUGAAGGUCUUCGGAUCGUAAAACUCUGUUAUUAGGGAAGAACAAAUGUGUAAGUAACUAUGCACGUCUUGACGGUACCUAAUAAGAAAGCCACGGCUAACUACGUG